GAUUAUGCAAUCCUGAAAAUAGUUUCAAAAAAAUUUAACCUUAUUUUUGUAAAUAUGACCUAUGUCUUAUAAUACUCUCCCACUCCCUAUUUGACAAGGAGAGAAAGAAGGCUGUCAUGAUGUGAACUCAAUUUUAUUUUUUCUUUCACAGAAACCAUUUAUUGAAGACUUACCAUGUGCCCUGCAUUGCAGUACAGGAUGAGAACCUACAAACACUAGAGCAUCUUAUCCUGUAACUAGAAUCAAACUCAGUGCUACUGUGAGAAUCUGUGUUCGCUAGGGACCCAAGGACUACAGUUGGAAUGCCAUUAGAUUCCAUUAAAUUCACAUAGCCUCCUGCAAUUCCAUCUAACUCUCCAGGUAAGACAGUAAUAUUUAUGCUUUUCAAUGUGUCUUGGUUAAUUAUAUU
rnacentral:lncRNA from 1 species